rnacentral:rRNA from 1 species
UACGAAGGGGGCUAGCGUUGUUCGGAUUUACUGGGCGUAAAGCGCGUGUAGGCGGGUCGUUAAGUUGGGGGUGAAAUCCCGGAGCUCAACUCCGGAACUGCCUUCAAAACUGGCGACCUGGACUCAAGCAGAGGCAAGUGGAAUUGCGAGUGUAGAGGUGAAAUUCGUAGAUAUUCGCAGGAACACCAGUGGCGAAGGCGACUUGCUGGGCUUGUAGUGACGCUGAGACGCGAAAGCGUGGGGAGCAAACAGG